GAUGAACGCUAGCUGGAGGCUUAAUACAUGCAAGUCGAGCGGGAUUGGGUAGCAAUACCCAUGAGAGCGGCGCACGGGUGAGUAACGCGUACACGACCUACCUCUAACAGGGGGAUAGCCCUGGGAAACUGGGAUUAAUACCGCAUAUUAUUCUGGAGAAUAAAGAUCUGGAAUGAAAGCUGAGGCGGUUAGAGAUGGGUGUGCGUCUGAUUAGCUAGUUGGUAGGGUAACGGCCUACCAAGGCGAUGAUCAGUAGGGGGCGUGAGAGCGUGGUCCCCCACACAGGUACUGAGACACGGACCCGACUCCUACGGGAGGCAGCAAUAAGGAAUAUUGGUCAAUGGACGCAAGUCUGAACCAGCCAUGCCGCGUGAAGGAUGAAGGUCCUCUGGAUUGUAAACUUCUUUUAUCUGGGGCGAAACCCUACUAUUCUUAGUAGUUUGACGGUACCAGAUGAAUAAGCACCGGCUAACUCCGUGCCAGCCGCCGCAGUAAUAC
rnacentral:rRNA from 1 species